GCCUUUGUAGCUCAGUUGGUUAGAGCGCUACACCGGAAUCGCAGGGCCGUAGGUUCAAUUCCUACCAGAGGAC
rnacentral:tRNA from 1 species